ensembl:misc_RNA 7SK 7SK RNA
GGAUGUGAGGGUGAUCUGGCUGCGACAUUUGUCACCCCAUUGAUCGCCAGGGUUGAUUCGGCUGAUCUGGCUGGCUAGGCGGGUGUCCCCCUCCUCCCUCACCGAUCCAUGUGCGUCCCCCCAGAGGAGAGGACCGAUCUUCAGUAAGGGUAUACGAGUAGCUGCGCUCCCCUGCUAGAACCUCCAAACAAGCUCUCAAUUUAACAUUCCAGGGUGGAAAAUUGGCAGUUUUUAAAAGAUCAGCUGAUGCUAAGCACUUUUACAAAACUCGUUGAGACCUGGCCAGUGUGGCUCAGUUG